CGAUCGAUGAAGCCCAGCUUGCUGGGUGGAUUAGUGGCGAACGGGUGAGUAACACGUGAGUAACCUGCCCUUAACUCUGGGAUAAGCCUGGGAAACUGGGUCUAAUACCGGAUAGGAGCGCCCACCGCAUGGUGGGUGUUGGAAAGAUUUAUCGGUUUUGGAUGGACUCGCGGCCUAUCAGCUUGUUGGUGAGGUAAUGGCUCACCAAGGCGACGACGGGUAGCCGGCCUGAGAGGGUGACCGGCCACACUGGGACUGAGACACGGCCCAGACUCCUACGGGAGGCAGCAGUGGGGAAUAUUGCACAAUGGGCGCAAGCCUGAUGCAGCGACGCCGCGUGAGGGAUGACGGCCUUCGGGUUGUAAACCUCUUUCAGUAGGGAAGAAGCGAAAGUGACGGUACCUGCAGAAGAAGCACCGGCUAACUACGUGCCAGCAGCCGCGGUAAUACGUAGGGUGCGAGCGUUAUCCGGAAUUAUUGGGCGUAAAGAGCUCGUAGGCGGUUUGUCGCGUCUGUCGUGAAAGUCCGGGGCUUAACCCCGGAUCUGCGGUGGGUACGGGCAGACUAGAGUGCAGUAGGGGAGACUGGAAUUCCUGGUGUAGCGGUGGAAUGCGCAGAUAUCAGGAGGAACACCGAUGGCGAAGGCAGGUCUCUGGGCUGUAACUGACGCUGAGGAGCGAAAGCAUGGGGAGCGAACAGGAUUAGAUACCCUGGUAGUCCAUGCCGUAAACGUUGGGCACUAGGUGUGGGGACCAUUCCACGGUUUCCGCGCCGCAGCUAACGCAUUAAGUGCCCCGCCUGGGGAGUACGGCCGCAAGGCUAAAACUCAAAGGAAUUGACGGGGGCCCGCACAAGCGGCGGAGCAUGCGGAUUAAUUCGAUGCAACGCGAAGAACCUUACCAAGGCUUGACAUGUUCUCGAUCGCCGUAGAGAUACGGUUUCCCCUUUGGGGGCGGGUUCACAGGUGGUGCAUGGUUGUCGUCAGCUCGUGUCGUGAGAUGUUGGGUUAAGUCCCGCAACGAGCGCAACCCUCGUUCCAUGUUGCCAGCACGUCGUGGUGGGGACUCAUGGGAGACUGCCGGGGUCAACUCGGAGGAAGGUGAGGACGACGUCAAAUCAUCAUGCCCCUUAUGUCUUGGGCUUCACGCAUGCUACAAUGGCCGGUACAAUGGGUUGCGAUACUGUGAGGUGGAGCUAAUCCCAAAAAGCCGGUCUCAGUUCGGAUUGGGGUCUGCAACUCGACCCCAUGAAGUCGGAGUCGCUAGUAAUCGCAGAUCAGCAACGCUGCGGUGAAUACGUUCCCGGGCCUUGUACACACCGCCCGUCAAGUCACGAAAGUUGGUAACACCCGAAGCCGGUGGCCUAACC
rnacentral:rRNA from 1 species